rnacentral:tRNA from 1 species
CGCUUGGAUGCUGGGGAGAUCCAUAGAUCUGGAUAGAGGUUAGAGCAAAGGACUGAAAAUCCUUGUGUCAGUGGUUCGAAUCCACUUCUAAGCGG